CUACGGGGGGCAGCAGUGGGGAAUAUUGCACAAUGGGGGAAACCCUGAUGCAGCAACGCCGCGUGGAGGAUGACGCAUUUCGGUGUGUAAACUCCUUUUAUAUCCCAAGAUAAUGACGGUAGGAUAUGAAUAAGCACCGGCUAACUCCGUGCCAGCAGCCGCGGUAAUACGGAGGGUGCAAGCGUUACUCGGAAUCACUGGGCGUAAAGGGCGCGUAGGCGGGUUGUCAAGUCUUGAGUGAAAUCCAACGGCUCAACCGUUGAACUGCUUGAGAAACUGGCAGCCUAGAGUGAGGGAGAGGUAGAUGGAAUUGGUGGUGUAGGGGUAAAAUCCGUAGAGAUCACCAGGAAUACCCAUUGCGAAGGCGAUCUGCUGGAACUCUACUGACGCUGAGGCGCGAAAGCGUGGGGAGCAAACAGGAUUAGAUACCCCGGUAGUC
rnacentral:rRNA from 1 species